GCAGAGCAUCCUACGGGAGGCAGCAGUGGGGAAUAUUGCACAAUGGGCGCUAAGCCUGAUGCAGCCAUGCCGCGUGUAUUGAAGAAGGCCUUCGGGUUGUAAAGUACUUUCAGCAGUGAGGAAGGUGGGUAUGUUAAUAGCAUACUCAUUUGACGUUAGCUGCAGAAGAAGCACCGGCUAACUCCGUGCCAGCAGCCGCGGUAAUACGGAGGGUGCGAGCGUUAAUCGGAAUUACUGGGCGUAAAGCGCAUGCAGGUGGUUUGUUAAGUCAGAUGUGAAAGCCCGGGGCUCAACCUCGGAAUUGCAUUUGAAACUGGCAAACUAGAGUACUGUAGAGGGGGUAGAAUUUCAGGUGUAGCGGUGAAAUGCGUAGAGAUCUGAAGGAAUACCGGUGGCGAAGGCGGCCCCCUGGACAGAUACUGACACUCAGAUGCGAAAGCGUGGGGAGCAAACAGGAUUAGAUACCCUGGUAG
rnacentral:rRNA from 1 species